UCGAGCAUAAUAUCAAUUAGAUUAAAACAUCUCUGAAUUUCAUAAUUACAAACCAGAUAGAUAGAUACAUGAAAACUUAGACCCCAGAGCUCUGUCUUUAAAGAAUGCCCACUUCUAGACUCAAUCUCUAUUACUCUCUUCUUUUUUUUCUCUCUCUCUCUCUUCGGAAAAACUUGUAUAUAAAUAAAUGUCACUUCCUUUGCUUUCUGCACUCAACUCAUGAACUUGAAAAGCUUUACUUGGAUGGGUUGGUUGGGGGUGAGUAUCUCUUGUUGGAGAAGCAGGGCACGUGCAAGUUCCUAUGUUUAAGUGAACUUUGCACGUGCUCCCCUUCUCCACCGUGAGUUUCUCAUUCUGAUUGCUGAUUGCAGUACUGAAUCUGCAACUGCAUCUCACCUCUUUGAAACUACAGAUGUCGACCAGGACAAAAAAGGUAAUCUAUCAUAUAUAUGUUUAUCUUUUACAUUCCUCUCUUCACCUGCAAUCAUCAGCGG
rnacentral:precursor_RNA from 1 species